UGAGGAUAAAAUUCAGAGCACAGUGUGAUCCUUGUCUGCAGAUAGUACGGUCCUCUUGGGCACAAACAUGCACAGUCUUUUAAGGCAACUUAUUUCCAGGCACUUUAUUGUUAAACACCACCACAGAUACAGCAGCAAAUGAAAAAACAGUAAUACAAAUCCCUAUAAACAAACACCUAGCUCGGUCUGAGCACUUACUAACAUCAAGUUCCCUAUCUCUCAAGGGUUAAACUAGAACAAAAUAAUAUUUGGGUUCACCAACCUAGUGCCUUUGUCAGAUCUCUGCACUCCACACUCGGUUAGCAUGUGGCUUCCAUUCCUUCUAGAAAUAAACAGAAUUCUCUCUCUUUUCCGCACUCCCAGUGCUCCAAGCCAGCCUUGACUGCUUUCCUUUUGCACUCCCAGUGCUCAGUCUCUUUGCCCCUCUCCAACCUGCUUCCCGGGAGGAAGCCAGAAAUCCCCCCUUUACCUGCAUAGCAGGGAGGGGUUUAUUCCCACUGCUGCAGCUGAUUAUCUGCAGCUGAGCAGUGGGUUGGAGACAGUUCCUAAAAACUCUUGCCUGGACCUGAUUUCUCCCAGUUGUGUAUAAACUGAGGAGUGGAGCAUUGGCCCACCCUGCUCUCCAAAUGCUCCACCCCAGGGGCCCAUAACUAGACGUAGCUUUGUGUUGCCUACAACACAUACUACACA